GGGGAUUCCCCUGUACCUGUAAAGUUUUCAUGAUAAAAUCACUUGGAGGAUUCAUGUCUAACACACAAGGUUUUCAAAACUAUCCUUAACCAUUUAACUGUAUUUACCAUGUAUUAGUUUCAAGAAAUAAGUCAAGCCAAGUGAUAAUGCACAAACAAAAAUUCAAUUAUGCAAGUGGGUUUAGAUUCUCACCAAUUUCCAUACCAACAAACUUAAUUGGGGACUCCCUUGC
rnacentral:lncRNA from 1 species